CAUCUGCAGGGGAUACGAAUAAGUCAGGAUAACACUGAAAUACUCGACUCAUGCAGGGGAGCGAUUUCACUAAAGAAAUACGCACUCAACUCAAAUGGGGAGAAAUAAAAUUUCAACACAGGAGGAGCAUAAGUCUAUUAUCCACUACCUGUUACUGGAUAAGGAGAUAAUAAACAUCUGAUAGAAAGAACAUCCGUCAUCGGUUAAGAUGAACACAUCAAGGAUGACUCGCUGAGAACCGCCAAGAGGGAGUAUUCA
rnacentral:lncRNA from 1 species